CCCGCCGGCGACCGGCGCACGGGUGAGUAACACGUAUGCAACCUGGCCGCCACAGGGGGAUAACCCGCGGAAACGCGGCCUAAUACCCCGUGACGCCACCGGAGGGCAUCCUCCGGUGGCCAAAGGAGCGAUCCGGUGGCGGAUGGGCAUGCGGCGCAUUAGCUAGACGGCGGGGUGACGGCCCACCGUGGCGACGAUGCGUAGGGGUCCUGAGAGGAAGGCCCCCCACACUGGGACUGAGACACGGCCCAGACUCCUACGGGAGGCAGCAG
rnacentral:rRNA from 1 species